GAUGAACGCUGGCGGCGUGCUUAACACAUGCAAGUCGAACGGAAAGGCCCUGAUUUUGUGGGGUGCUCGAGUGGCGAAGGGGUGAGUAACACGUGAGUAACCUGCCCCUGACUGUGGGAGAACUUUAGGAAACUGGGGCUAAUAUCGGAUAGGAGCUCCUGCUGCAUGGGGGGGGUUGGAAAGUGUCGGCGGUGGGGGAUGGACUCGCGGCAUAUCAGCUGGUUGGUGGGGUAGUGGCUGACCAAGGGUUUGACGGGUAGCCGGCCUGAGAGGGUGACCGGCCACCUUGGGACUACGAUACGGACCAGACUCCUACGGGCGGCAGCGGUGGGGAAUCUUGCACAAUGGGCGGAAGCCUGAUACAGCAACGCCGCGUGCGGGAUGACGGCCUUCGGGUUGUAAACCGCUUUCGCCUGUGCCGAAGCGUGCGUGACGGUACUGAGUAAAGAAGCCCCGGCUAACUACGUG
rnacentral:rRNA from 1 species